GAGAAAGUCCAGAUGGAAUUGAAAAUAGAUGAGCUCUUGGCUGGGAUGGUAUUAUUGAUGGAUAAUUUGACAGCAUUUAUAAAUACAAUUCUUUGACCCACAAUUCAAACUCUAAGACAUUAUUCUAAAAGUGUUCCUGUACAACUAUGCAAGCUGAUGCUUUUCCAAGCCUUCUACAUCCCACAGCUGGUUAUUAGAAUGUGAUAAUCUUGGAGUCAAUAUAUGGAGGGGAUGCUGAAAAAAAUUCACAGGAGACCAACUCAGUCUACCAGCUAAAUCGGUUUGGAGGCACUGAAAUCUAAUAAAAAACACAUCUGAGUAUCCAAUCCUGGACCCACUGCCAGGAAGAGAAGAGACCUUGAACAGUGAUGGAGGCAGUGAAGGAACUUCGGUAUAAGAGAUUGCAUCCCAUUUCUUCACUGGUCCCACCAAGGUGACCAGCUGUGUGACAAAUCCUCUAGAAUCUGGAGCUGACCCCUGAGGGGAAGAGAUAUCUUUGAAGGUGGAGAGUUAGCUUGAUUUAUUCCUCUUCUCAAGUGCCAACCCACUGAAGGUGCUUGAGAAAUGUUUAUGGGCUGAAGGGAGAACCGGUGUUAUGAACUGAAUGUUUGUGCUCACCCUCUACAAAAGAAUGUAUAUGCUGAAGCCCUAAUCACCAAUGUGACUGGAUUUGAGGUUAGGACCUCAGGAGGUGAUUAAGUGGCUAUCCACCAGCCAGGAAGAGGGCCCUCAUCAGGAUGUGAAUAAGGUUGCCCAAGACCUUGAUCUUGGACUUCUCAUCCUCCAGAACUGUGAGAAAUAUAUUUCUGUUUUCUAAGCCACCCAUACAUGGUAUUUUGUUAUGAUACACCAAGGUAAUUAAGACAAGGUGGUUAUGAAUAUACAUGCCAUUAUACUGGGAACAGCUUGUAUUGUGGGUGAACCAAUUGCAUUUUAAUCUUAGACUAGGUGAAUUGCUCACUGUGCCUCAGUGUUCUCUUCUUUACAAUGGGUAUAAUAACAAAACCCACAUCAAAGGAUUGUAGUGAGGAUGAAGUAAAAUAGUAUGGGUAAAAUUGCUUAGAACAAUGGCUGGUACUUAGUAAGCAUGCCAUAAAUAUCAGCUAUCAUUAUUAUGACCUAUAGAUAUUCCUACAGAAAACUAGAAUACAAUCAUUUAAUGCAAGAAAAGCCAUUUAAGAAUGGCAAUGCAUUUAUUCUUCCUUCCCUGACUUAUUCAACAGAUAUCUGUUGACACACACUACAUGCUGUGCACUGUUUUCGCUGCUGGAUACAGAGCAGAGAACAAGCCCAACAGAGCCGUGUCCCAUGGGCAGAGGCUUAUACUUUAGUGGAGCAACAAGCAAUAUGAAAACCUAAGUACAAUAAGAAAAAGGGGUAAAAAGUGUCAGCUGGAGGGUCACAUUCUUUUCUGGUCCUGGUAGGAC
rnacentral:lncRNA from 1 species